CUUUGAGUCAGGUUCCAUGGUAAAGCACAGAGGUAGGUGAGGUAUGAAAACAUCCCGUAACUGACCCAUAAGAACUUUUGAUACUUCCUCUUGUUGGCUGGAACGUUUCCACAUAGGUCAAAAAGAGGAAAGGAGAAAGUCCCAGGUCGCCAGUGGUUGUAGAGCUUGGAACAACCUCCAUAUACAGAGAACAUAAAGUCCUUUGACUCAGGACAAAAUGGAAGCUGAAAGUUCCUUAAAGAGGCUGCCUAAUUGACACUCUCAUCAGUCACCAAUAAAAGGGAAGGCGUGGCAGAAGACUCGAGGAUGUCAGAAAGAAGCACAACCUGAGUAGAGGUGAGGCAGAGACCAGGGUUGCCCAAGGUCAUGGCAAGAGACGAGGUGGAGGGAGCCCUCCCUUUCUGACUGCUGGCUCAGUGGUCAGUCCACGCUGACCAAAAGAGGCUGCUUGUACUAUGCAAGUAAAAUAUGAACGCCCAGGUUGUUGGGGAGCAAGAAGACACUCCGAAUACGAGGUGGAAAGGGGGAGCCGGGAGCAGGAGAAACCGGACUUCCCUUUUAUGUGUUGCUUCAUGCCUCUGCUGGUGAACAGCAGGAGGAGAGAGAAAUGGCUGACUCCAAACCCACAGUUCCUGCCCUGGAGGUUUGUUUUGACGUCUGAGGCGAAGAGAUCUUCCCAGGAGGAGGCCGAGGGAACACUACAGGCGGCUGAUUCAUUCCAUUCCAGGGCCAAAAGCUACAUCUCUUUAACUGUUGUGUGGAGAAAGUCCAG
ensembl:lncRNA